rnacentral:rRNA from 1 species
UACGUAGGGGGCAAGCGUUGUCCGGAAUCAUUGGGCGUAAAGAGCUCGUAGGCGGCUCAGUAAGUCGGGUGUGAAACCCUCAGGCUCAACCUGGGGACGCCACUCGAUACUGCUGUGGCUAGAGUCCAGUAGAGGAGUGUGGAAUUCCCGGUGUAGCGGUGAAAUGCGCAGAUAUCGGGAGGAACACCAACGGCGAAGGCAGCACUCUGGGCUGGAACUGACGCUGAGGAGCGAAAGCGUGGGUAGCAAACAGG